CUUUUUCUUAUCGAUUCCGCAGAAUUGUGAACGUCCAUCUAAGAGAGCUGAAGCAUUAAGGAGCCCUCUUGAGUCAUCCGAUGAGCGAUAUGGAAGCGACGAUUUGAUUGGUUUAAACGGUCGGUUCUCUCCCCUUCAUGACGGGCAACUGAGCGAGAUGCUUCAGCUGACAGGGCCUGUUGGCAGGGUCGGCAGGGAGCAGGAGGGUGACACUUGGUAGAAAAGAUUGCCACAAUCUUUGGGGAGCUGUAUCUAUGGUCUCCAUGGCAACUGCUGUUGACAGGCUUAAAUCCGUAACUAGGCAACCAUUUUUUAAGAUUCUGCUUCACAAAAUAAAAAUUAUAUCUUUUAAUUUUUAACAGUUAAAAUGUUCACAAGUCUGCAAAUAAAAUAAGAACGAUUGAAAUGAAAUGGUGAAUUAUCAUUAAAGAAAAACACAAUAAACAUGUUUCGGUCAUCGCAAGAUUGUUGUCUUCUAUUUCCUCAAAUAAACUUGAUUAC